rnacentral:rRNA from 1 species
UACGGAGGAUGCGAGCGUUAUCCGGAUUUAUUGGGUUUAAAGGGUGCGUAGGCGGCUUAGUAAGUCAGCGGUGAAAUUUUGCAGCUUAACUGUAACAGUGCCGUUGAUACUGCCAGGCUAGGAUUUGGUUGCUGUGGGUGGAAUGUGUGGUGUAGCGGUGAAAUGCUUAGAUAUCACACAGAAUAUCGAUUGCGAAGGCAGCUCACAAAGCCAAGAUUGACGCUGAGGCACGAAAGUGUGGGGAUCAAACA